ensembl:lncRNA
GCUUUCUUUUGAAUCCCCAGUAUUUAAUGACUGGCACAUAGUGAGUGCUUAAUAAAUGCAUAUUCAGCAACUAUUAGAGGGAUCAAUUUGACUAAACUGGAGAAAGGAACUCAAGGCUGAACAGUGAGUCAGUGGUAAAGCUAAGACAGCCAUUUCAACAAAUCCUUGCUGAUAGUUGCUAUGGCUCAUCCCAGUGUCAGGUGCCUUGGGAGAGGGCCAGCUUGGACAGUCUUGUGGGGAAGCCAGGAUAAGGGAACUCUGGCCUCCCAGCUGUUAAUCUGUUCCACUUUUCACUAGCUUUGUAGCCUCAAAAAAGAAGAUCCUGGGGUCUAGGACUCUGGGAUGUCCUACUUGAAUAUCAUCUCUGCUAAAAGGAAAUUGAGCUUCUAACCAAAAGCACCAAUGAAAAAUCUUGUCAUGAGGGCAGCUGAGAUGGCUGUGGGGAGAGAUACAGAAAUGGUAGGAGGUGGAGAUGGUGCAGGGUGGGGCCAUGGGGAGAUGGUUCUGGGCAGGCAGAUAAAACACUGAGACACACGGACACAUGGACAUCCCUAGUGUUUCAUGGUUCAGUGAAACUCCACUAUGGGAGUAGCAUAAGAAGUCUCACAACUGAUGGCCUUAGGAUCAUAGAUCUAGGAAGGAAGAAACAUCUGAAGCCAUCUAGUCCAAAGUGGCCAUUAGCUUUUUUAUCUCAUAAAAUGAAAUCAUAGGAGCAGCGAGGUGGCAAACAAACUGGAGGAUUCCUGAGUUCAAAUCCGACAUCAGAGUCUUACAAGCUGUGUGACCCUGGACGUAACCCCAUAACCCCAACGGCCUCAACCAAAAAAUAAAUAAUUGUAAAGCACUUAGCAUAGCACGGUGUGUUAUUAAUGUUAUCUAUCAUGAUAAUUAUUUUACAUAUGAGAAAAGACCUAACAAGAUUGACUUCUCCAAGAUCACACAGAUAAUUUUUAUAAAUAGCAAAUGUAAAUUGCUGCUUAUUCUCCUGCUGUAUCAUGUUUUCAACCCGCCCCACCCCAUUCUAGGCAGGACAAAAUAACCACCGCAGGAAUUAGAGAAAACUGGAGCCAGGAGGAGUUUUAAUAGGCAGAUUUUAGAGAUUAUCUGAACGUUCUCAUUUUGACAGAUGAGGAAACUGAGGCCCAGAGACUUGCUUCACCAGAUUAGAGGCUGAGUUGGGAGGGAGGAGAAGUCGGGUCCCAACCCAGGGGACAUUCCUCUAGCUAACGCAAGCUAGAAGGGGGGAUUCAGGCCAAGGAUACCUAACUCCCCAUGGGACUUCAGCUUCCGGGGGGAGUCCUCUUCCCUCUGCCGCCGUCUCCAAUCCGGAGGAAAGUUGCUGCUGGCCCCUCUAGCUGCCUGACCGCAGGUUUAUCUCCAGGAGGGUUGUCCCUAACGGGUGCAGGGUGGGAACAGGUGAGAGAAUCUCCCACAAGCCCCUCCUCCCUACAGGUGCCUCCCUUUCCUUUCCACCCGUGGAGAGCAGUGCUUUAUCAGCAAAUUGCCGGCUUGCGGGUCCGGAAAGAUAGCCGACUCGCCCGGGGCCUCGCAGGGUGUGUGUCGGACAUUCCCAGGUCUGUUUGAGCGCAGUAGGCGGCUAAUAACGAGCGGGGGGACGCCCUCCCCCGCGCCCUUGAUGCCCAGUCGGAGGCUCGUGUUCUCCCCCCAGGAGCCCUCGCGGCCUUUGAUGGAUGGGAGCCCGGAGAUCUGAGGCCCUCCUCUGCCCGGCGAGGGCUCAGCGUCAGGGGCUGAGGGCGGAAGGCGCUGUCCGUGCGGGGACAUGGGAGACAGGGAGAGGGCAGAGGAGCGCAAUGCGCGCCCGGCCAGUGUCAAGCGCCGUGCCGAGGAAGCGGAGGCUCCACCGCGGACGGGAACUGGGGCGCAGAGAGGGGCAAAGAUCGCAGCGCUGCGAGGGGCUUCGCAACAUUAAGAAAGGAAACGAGAUUCAGUCCCGGCUCCGCUAAUUCCAGUUCCUAAACCCUCCUCGCUACGUCACGUGGCGGGCGCAGAGUGGCGGGCCAGCUUCCUGCUUCCGAAACACGGGAAGGAACAAAGCGCCCGCGGGGUAGAAUUCGAACCUAGGACCCCGUAACCGAGAUUCGAAUUCCCCACCUGGCCCCGAGAGACUCGAGCGCACGGUCCUAACGUCACGCAGGCGUUGCUCGCUCCAGCCGAAGGCUUCGGGACUUCACCUCAGCGAUGCUCUCCGCUCCGGACCACCUCCUACCCCGCCGUCUCGGGGCCUAGCACCUCUACACCUCUUCCAGAGAACUACAGGGAGGCUGAGUGGUGACAGCGAUCUGAGAGGUCCAGGCUGACAUUCCAGACUGAAAGCAGUGGAAGAGUAGCUCCAACGUGGAUCUCCUGACUCGGAAAAUCUGAGUACAGUGGGACAAGGUAUGUAGAGUUAUAUUUUAUCACCUUUUGAGUCUUUUUUAAAUGAAUAAAAUGAGUAUUACUAUUUUCUUUAAAUUGUAUACAUGAUAUAUUGCUUACAGUUGAUAUGAAGGAAAGAGCUAAGACAUUAGUAGUUGAGGGUAUUCCUGAAUGUUGUACUUUUAGGAUCCUUUUAUCUUGAAAAUAUCUCUGGACCUUUUGAUUAGUCCUCUGGGAGAAACUGGAACAGCUGAUCCCUUAAGGAAGAAACUAUCCUUGUAUCUCUCUCUUCCUUUUCACCUCUGUGGCAGCUACCAUACACUCUCAUCCCUUCCUUCCUAGAAGACUGAAAUAGUCUCCUUACUGAUCUUCCUGCCUGUAAUUUAAUUCCUUUCCAAUCCACGUGCUGCACUAUUGCCCAAGUAAUUUUCCUUACACACUGCUUUCAUAUGUCACCUUUUACCUCAUAAAUUUUGAGUGGCUCCCCAUUGCCUACUGAAUUAAGUGAUCACCGCAUUCAAAACCCUCCAUGAUAUGGUACUACCCUAUCUUUCUGCCUUAUCUUCUUCGAAGCAUUUCCCUCAAUUAAUUUGCCUAUUCCUUUUAAAGAGAGAGGUAUGAUCAGACAUCUUAUUUGGCUACACUACAUAGGGACUUCCUCUGACUGACUUCAUCAUGUCCCAGGAAGUCCAUUACUGGAAAGUCUCAUCAGUCUGAGACAUCCCAAGAGUCCUGAUGCUCUUCAGUCUCUGCCCUUCUGAUUGGGGGAUAUCUUUCCCCAUUAGACUGUAAGUUUUGUAAGGGCAGAGAAUUUUUUUUUUUGUUGUUGUUGUUGUUGCAUUUGUAGCACUUAGCAUGGUGUCUGGCACAUAAGUGCUUAUAAAUGUUUAUUGACUGACAACAUUUUAAUCAAAACAUACUAUUCUUCAUCCUCAGUUCUUUUCAGUUCAAUUUAAUAAACAUUUUCCAUCACUCUUGUGUUUCGGUGCCUUUGCUCAUGGUAUCUAUGUUUGGACUGUCCUUACCUCCAUCCCCCAUUUAUUGAAGGUCCUUUAAGGCACAGCACAAGUAACAUAUUCUUCAAGUAUCUUUCAUUUACUUUCGUAGCUGAAGUUAUCUUUUCCUCCUCAAAGACCUUCUAGCAUUUUGUUUGCAUCUCUCCUUUGCCUUUAUCUUACCCUCAUUUAUGUCAUCAUUCUUAGAAUUAUAGGCUUAGAGCUAGAAGGAACAUUAGAGGAUAUGGAAUUCAGAAUUCUCAUUUCACUGAUGAGGAAACUGGGGCCCAGAGAAUUUAAGUAAUGUGACCAAGAUCACAGAAGAACUAAGUGUGAUUUGAAUCCAGGAUUUCCUGACUCCAGAGACCAAUGUUCUAUCCACAGUAUCAGGUUACCUUUCUUAUUUGCAUCUGUCUUUUUUCCCUAGUAAAUUGUAAACUUUUUGAGAGCUGGCCAUAUAUCAUAUCUAUCCCUGUAUUCCUGGUGCUGUAGUCUUUAACAAAUAUUUGUUAGGUGAAUGAAUGAACUUCAGGGUUCCAACUCAUUUGGCCAGUAAUAUCAUUUUAGUCUGCUGGGCAAGGGUUCUUUUAGCUCUCUAUAGCACUGAACCCCUCUAUUGCCCUCAUCAUCCUUUCUUCAAAUUUUCCUGAAGUUUAGUUUAUCUUAAACAGCCCAAAGCACAGCAGAAGGUACCCAGCUACCAGGGCAGCAAGGUGGCACAAUGGAUGGGGGCUGGAGUCAGGAAGACCUGAGUCAGAUCUGGCCUCAAAUACCCACCAGCUGUGUGACCCUGGGAAAGUCAUUUAACUCUGUUUGCCUUAGGUUCCUCAUCUGUAAAGUGAGCUGGAGAAAGAAAUGGCAAACCACUCUGGUAUGUUUGCCAAGAAAACCCUAAAAGGAGUCUCAAAGCAUUAGACACAAUUGAAAUGACAGAACAAUAACAAACCCAGCUACAAGAAGCCCCUCUGUGCCAUCUGAUUACCUAAAUCUAGAAGUAUUAUGGAUUCAUAUUAUAAAGAGAAGCUUCAGAACACAAGGUAGAACAAGGGGUAGGCGGCACCUUCUCUUGGUAACUAGGACUGUGAGAAACAACUGAGCUGUGUGGCUCCCGAGAGCAGGGAGGGCUCUGGCAGGUAAUGAAUUGUGCAGUUAGGAAGAGAUUGAAGGUUGGAGGAGCAUUGGAGCUUGGCAGCCAGUGUCUGAUCUGGGGCCUUUCUCUUGGUGGAUCAUUGUUGGGAUGAGGGGGGUUAUCUGCAGUUUUCUUUGACUGAGUUCUUAUGUGGCCUUGUUCCAGAACUGAAAUAAUAGAGUAGUAAGUACCAGUGAAAACGAUAGAUUAAACCUAGAAUUUGUUAUGUCCUGACUGAGCUAUCUCUGAUUCUUCAUGCUGAGGGGAGAGUGACCACCCUGGCAGAAAAUGGGUGCAUGGCCUGGGCACAAAUAAAGAGGAGAGGAACCAAGUGACAGAGGCUCCCAGUACCUUAGAGGCAGCCUGACAUGAGUGCAGUCACAAACCAAUUCUGCCUUUUCAUUGGGUCCCACUUUUAGAACUGGAAAGAACCUUAAAUUUUAUGGUCCAACCCCCCAUUUACAUGGGACAUGAUUGAGGUCUAAAGAAUCUAAGAGGGUCCAAGAUCACCCAAAUGGUAAAGAUUUGAACCCUGUACUUAGGUUCCAUAUCUAGUGGCCUUUCCGCCUCCC